CCUCUUUUAUAUCUAAAAAUCCCCACAAAAAAAUCUAUAUAGCCUAUAUCAUUCUUUGUGUUAUCCUUGAUCCUAUCAAAUUAUAGUUUCUGGUUGUGCUUUGUUUCUAUCAUCAAGUUUGCAAGUAUUAUAUCUGAUCACUGUGUUUAGUUCUAUAUAAAAAAAGUGUGUCAAAAAAGAAAAGAAAGUGCAAAAAAAAAGUGAAGUAAAAAAAGGUAGAGAAAGGUUCAGAGAGAAAGUGUGAAAGAUUAGUUGGUUUAUGUGCACAAGUGCUGAAAGUUUCAUAUCAAGUUCUGCAACCAGUUUGCUAUCUUUGUUUGGUGCAAUAUUUUGGUUGGGUCUGAUUGCAACACUUGCAGCCCAAUCAUACUCCUUGUUUGCAUCAAAUCUGAAUUUUCUUUGUGCGUGUGUGUGAUCAUUUACUUCUUUCAUAUCUUGUGGUCAGCGCUAGGCAGAGAACUUCUAGUUUGGAUCGUUACUUAACUUUACAACAACUAGAAUUUAGAUUGCAUUUCUUGUGUAUUACUUCCCACCAAGCUCCACAUAAAAACCAUCGUAAUCAGUACUCUCUGUUCUUGUAUUCGCCUCGCCAUCACUUUCAGUUGCCACCACACAUUUGUUUUCCUUGUAAUCUGCAGCAGAGGAAUUCAUAAGAGCUUCGGUGGUUAGAGAGGUGAGUUGUGAGAGCCACCAAAUUUUCAUAUUCCACAAAUACAAAUUAUUUGUAUUCAGCUAACCUUACAGGAAGAUGGGUCAAGUGGACAUCAAAGAUCGUGUUUCCAUAGCACAAUUUAAUAAACUCCGACAAAGCAUAGAAGAAAAGCAAGAUAGGUUGACACAAGAUCUUCAGAAUCUUAUGACUGAAAUCAAAAGGCAUCGUCCACCUCAUGAUGGUGCAAGCAACCAUAGUGGAGAUAGAGAAGAUAGUGAUGGAAGAAGAGGAGGUCGGAGGAACCGGAGGGCUGCACAUGGUAAAGGAAGAAGACAUAGUCGAAGAAAUGAUGAUGAAUCUGAAGCUGAGGCUGAUGACAACCGCUUCCAACUCAGUUUUGGUCGCUGAUGUCAUAGAAGAGGCAACCAUGAAGAAAAUUUUGGCAAACUGAAAUUUACCAUGCCAAAAAUUGCUGCUGAACCAUCCCCGAGGAAUUUCUCUGGAGGAAGCAAAUCACACACAAAAUUUGCUGCUGAACCGUCCAUGGUGAAAAGCUCAAGUGGAGGCUCCCGAUCUAAUUUUUAUGGUACUUUUAGUGGAAAGAACACUGCUGUCCAUGGUGAAACAUUCUUUGUAGCCUAAAGGGUAGUAGCAAUAGAUUUAGUUAGUCAGAUGCACGCUUUCUCCCAGUGGUAAAAAUAUAAAUACGAUACUCUGGAUAACCUCCUGGGUGAAGUGCUCACCGAUAUCCGUGCGCUUGCGGAUCAUUUCCUGAUGGCGUUAACAAAUAUCAACAAGCAUUUCUGGCGCCGUUGCCGGGGAGAAAGACGGUUUGCUGAGAUAACUUUAAGUCUUGUUAUUAUCUUGUAUUAUACUUUUAUACUUUUAUUCUUUUAUCUUUUUAUUUUUUCCAUCUUUAUGGAUAACUUAAAUUCCACAACUAUUAUUGAAUUCUUUGCACCUUCGGAGACCAGCCAUAGACCAUGGGAGUCAACAAGUCCUGCCCCUAAUUAUGAUCUGUGUCCUGAGUUGAUUGCAAUAGGUCAAAACCAACCCUUUUCUAUAGCCGAGGUCCUAUCUUUUAAUCAAGAAGAUAAUGAACUUUUAGCUACACCUAGGGAAUCUUUUAAUCUUUUUAUAAAUUCUGGUUUAAACCUAGCCCUACAAGACCAUGUUUUUCCUCGAUAUUUUCACAUUGGUCUUAAUCAUAUAACCUUUGGUAGAGUUUUUCUUUCUUUAUCUAUUAGUAAAGGAAGGUAUGUCUUCAUUCAUGGACAUCCUUCUUGCACUAGUCUUCACAAAAAAUUCCUAGAGAUAGAGAAGGAAUCAUCUCCCAUACAAGGAAAGGAAGUUUCAAUAGCCGAUUUCCAAACAUUUCAAUCCCAUGAUUCAGCUAUCCAUCCCAUCCUUGAGCUUAAUAAUUUCUACUAUGCUCUUUCUCUUGAACCUCCCGAUAAUCCUAUGAAUCUCUCUAGACAUCCCAUGCAUAAGAGUCACCAAGAACACAAGAAGGAUCGAGAAGAGCAACAUCAAUGGCUAGAGGGCAUUAAAAAUCCAUGUGCUAUCACCAUUGAAUGGAUGGAUAAAACAAACUUGAGAGACAAUUCUAGAGGAAUUUUAAGCAUUCGUGAAAAAUCAUCCUUGGAGUUUGAGAAUAAGAGAAACAAUAGUGAGCAUGGAAGUUAUUUCAUGAACACCUCACCAAGUCCUUGCUCAUAUAAAACAUCUCCCCAAUCAACUGGUCUCUCCAACCUUACCACAUUUGAGAUCUCCAACCCCCUCUUCCUUUUUAUUUAUAAAAACUUUAAAAGGGUGGUUGUCGAUAUAUAUGUCUAUAAUAAAUAUUGCAGAUCUCGUUGAGUUGAUCUUGAUAUAGGUCAGCGUUGGAGGGGAAACCACUUCACCGGCAUAAAUUGAUGGUUUCCCAGGGACAAGCUUAGUGUCCUAAAACAAGCACUUAUCAGAUCGUAACAUGAAUUUCUAAUUACUUGCAACAUUACCUAGUGUGUUGAGCAUAUAAAGAUAAUUGUAGAAAUAUUCCUUCGGGUAUUCUUGUCACUAACCUUUCCAGGAUUGGAACAAGAAGAUCGGAUGAAUGACAAGCACAAGUUAUGUCUAACCAAUCGUCAUGCAACAUUGAAUUAAAUUCAUCUAAACUUGAAUUUUGCAAAAUUCAAGCUUGGGGGAGUAUUUUACAUAAAAACAUCCUUUGCCAUGUUGCUAUGUUGGUUGUCCCUACCUUUGAGACAUGCUCAAUUUGUUAAAUACUAAUCACGCUACUUCAUCUCCACUUCAGUAGAUCUCUAUAAAUGCUCUCAUGCUACCUUUAUUUGCUUUAGUAUAUGUCUAGGUUUGGAGUAGUUUCAUUUAUCUCUUAAUUCAGCAUGGUGCUUAGUUUAGGAAUGAUGAUCUUACUUCCAAGGGAUUUUGAAUUAAGCAUGGUGCUUAGGUUAAAAUGCCUUUCUAAAUCAAAUUAGACAUGGUGUCUAGGUUGAUUUUUGUGACGAUAGUAUGCUAUAGUAGAUAUUGGAUAUUUUGUUAAGGAAGGCAUAGCUCACAAGAGAUGAUCCAUGGAGGGUGCCACAAACACGAUGCACAACCGCUAAGAAAGGAAAGCUUCCACAAGGUGAUACUGUAUCAUCACUCUUCAAGUAAGGUAACAUCUUAAGGUACUUGACUAUCUCUUUUAUAAGCUUAUCCUUGAUUCUGGCGUUCACAUAAAACAAAGAAACAGACAUGUAUGAUUUAUAACUCCAAAUUAACCAACCCAACUGAUUCAGCAUGGUUAGUCCUUUAAUCUUUGUUCCUAGUACUACCUCCAUGAUCCUACACUCCUAAUCAUAUAAGCUAAAAUAUUGCACAUUCAAUCUUUGGAAGAUAAAAAAAAUAAACAAAACAUAAAAUAUAGAUAGAUUAUCUUUCCAUUAGGUUAAGCCAUCUGAUCUGACAAAUGUUUUAAAUGCUACACUCAUGAUCUUAUUAUCCAUCAACUUUGUCUUGCUCACUAUGCUUAAGGUUAGAGAAGAACAAAUACACUUUUGGUUCUGUUGGUGUUUUUCACCAACAGGGCCCAUGCACUUGAUCCCUGCCUUGUCUCUAUGAGUAGGUACACUUCGAGCAAAACCUGAAGGAGUUUUACAACUCCCAGACUCCACCAAGUGAAGGGCUUGGAUCUACGAGCACAAACACACAAGAGAUACUAGACACUCAGGCAAUCACUGCCCUGAGAUGCUUGAGGACGUAAACUAUAUCAACAACAACAACUACUACAACCGUCCUCAACAAAAUCAAGGUUGGAAUCAACACUGGCCUAACUACUCAGAGAGGCGAUCCAGGACGCCCCGUCAUCCCGAUCUCCAUCGGCAUGAUGGACUUCCCAGAACCACUCUGCAACUUUGGCUCCAACGUCAACAUUAUGCCCAGGGUUGCAGAUCGGACACUAAAGUUUCCCAAAGGGAAUAUUGAAGAACCUCUGCGUCCGAGUUGGUACCUUGUAUGCCCCAGUGCUACCAAGAUUAGUCUCUACAUCAAGGGGAGGAAGGACGUUUUCCUUCAAGAACAAGACUACACAAAUCUCAGAGCAAUCCCGACAUGAACCAAGGAAGAGGACCAACAGGAGGAACAGGAACAAGCAAAUUCAGACCGAGUCAGCUAAGAUGGUCACUACAGUUCAAGGAGGUCAAGAUCGUCGACUUAAGUCACCGUUUCUGACCAAAAAGGAUGACCCAGCUCCAGAUGGCAGAUCAGACAUUCCAAAAGGUUGAAGGUUAUUGACAUGGGAGAAGACGAGUAUGAUACACCCAUCAUCCUGGAGAGACCGUUCCUCGGCACCGUUAAAGCAAUCAUCUACAUUGGAACCGGAGAGGCCCACAUGCACUUCCCCUCUCAGAAGGUACGCCGCUAUUUUACUGACCUUAACUAUAUAGUUGAAGACUCUAAGCAGGUCAGGACAAGAAGAAGACGACGCAACCGCAACCAGAUGAGGCAAAUCAUCAAGGACGGAUAGGCAGACUACGAAGGAGAAGUGAUAAGGUCUGAAGACAUACAGCUUGAACAGAACUAUCCUGAGGAGACUGUAGCACCGAGUUAGGAAGAGAAGAUAGUUAUACACGAAGAAGAGGCGCCGCCGGAACCACCGACUACGCCAUCCAAUGAAUCUCAUGACGACUAAGAAAAUGGAGAGUUCCAUUCGGAGGACUUAAAAACACCGAAUGUCUUGCCAAAAGGUAAACUUGGUAGUUAUCCUUUUCCUUUCAAUUAUUCAAUUAUAGUUCGCUUAGUUAAUCACGUUCAUGCUAUCUUGAAAAGAAAAUAAAAAUGUUAAAAAUAGUAAGCCCCAUGUGAGUAUGCUCAUGGCAUAAAACCCAUAAGUACAUUCACUGUGCUCACAUAAAAAUAUUCUUGUCCUGUAAAAAUGAGAAUAUAAAAAUAAAUUUAUGAUCCUACCAAAGAGAGUAAUAUUUAUUAGAGGAAGCUCAAUAUGAUAAAGGCAAAGAGAUUUUAUGCUAACACUUAACCAGUUCCACAAAGCUUUGUUGUCAAUUUGAGCUCCACAGAAUUCAAGGAUCAAAGAAGACUAGCAGACGGAGGACAUCCUAAUCGCUGUCAGGGUGCUGCCGACAUUCAAAUACACCUCUGUCACCUGCUAGCUACAUCAGAAGAAAUUACGUCAAAAUCCAGCUUGGGGGAGAGCACCCCCAUUUAUCCAGCUAAGUAUUUCUACUCACGUUUAUACUUUACUCAAAUAAUAAAAAGAUGCAUAAUCAUGAAAACCUAAAUAAAAAUUCCAUGCUUAUAUUUUUGCUUAGUUUGCUAAAUAAAUAAAUAAAUAAAGUUUGAUAUGAACCCUCAUGAUAAGCUCUCACAUGGAAAUGAUAAAUAGUUGCUCUGCUAUGUACCUAGUUUUCAAGCUUGAGCUCUCUCUCAAGUUUAGGCAUAACUGUUAUAAUUUAAACCUGCUCUAAACCUGAACUUGUGGGAAGAGUACUUGAUCUGAAGUCUAAGUUGUUAACGGAUAUGAUAUGGGAAGGUUAAGCUGUUGUUUAUCUGUUCCUAGAGAUGCUAGAAUUCUGGAGAAUUUUAUCUUUGAAAAUCUUUAAAAUAACACAUGAUGAGUUCCUGUAUGAUGAGAGUUUAAAAUCCUGCCACAACCAUAUAUACAUGCUUAUUAGGCUAUGAACCAUACAUUUACUUUUUACUACUUAUGAGCAUUGAGUGUGGUCAAGCUGUGUAGACCCUUAGGAGCUUGUCAUGCGGGUAAAAUCAAGAUCCACUUGCACGUUCACUCACACAUGCUGCUUCUACUCCGGAAGUACGCAUCCACAUAUAUCCACUCAUUUCCAUCUCUAGAUUCACCCAAAAUUAUUCUACUCCUAAUCCGAGAGAGAAUAGCCAAAAACAUUUCCCUAUUUCUGUUUUUCCCUAUGAAAUAAAUGCUCAAGAUAUUUUGGUUACUACCACUUGCUACAUUAUUCCAGGAGGGUGAGUGCUCUGACAAAAAAGAGAAAAAAAGUUAAUACGAGGAAAUAAAAAGGGGCAAGUGCCCGAAACCUCGAAGAAAAGAAAAAGUGUGACGAGAGGUAAAAAUGGACAAGUGUCCGAUAGUAGAAUUAGGGGUACAAGAUACCCACCUGAGAGAAAAAGAAAAAGAAAAAUAUAGAGCAUCUCAUUCUCCUCAAAAAGCUUCAAAGUGCAAGAAAGGUAUGUAUCCCCUAAAAAAAGCAAAAGUAGAAUUAGACUUUCACCAUUGUUAUCACCAUCAUCAGCAUACAGCAUUCACUCGCCACAUAUGCAUAUCUUGAUUUGACUUAUUGACUUGUUCUUCUGGAUCCAUGGUUUGACUAUACAAUAAAUGUCUUGUAAGUAUGUAUUAUCUGUCUCCCACCUAUGGGCUCCAAAUAUCAAAACCUUAUUAGAGUAGGGUGAGAGAGAAGGCAAUAUCACUAUGCCUCAUACCAAAAAAUACCACACACUUUGAGAGAUGGCAUAUACCAUUACUGCCUUGGAAAGGAUCCAGAAAUACCACAAAAGAGAGAUUUGAGAGAGUCAUACAAGGAGUCUCUUAGUUUUAAUUGAAAAUCUGCAAAAACUCCAGAGCUAUAGCUGAUCAAGAAUAAGAGACAUGGCGCUUGACAUGACCGUUCUAUUUUUUAACUGCUCAAGACACAAGUGAUGUUUGCAAGCCCCAUGGUGAAAGGUAAAAUGAGUAAGUUUUAAGUCUUAACAGUUUACUCUAACUCAGAGAUGAGAUCUUGCUUGAAUGCAUGUGUACUUUUACGACAUGAAACCACUGCAGAAACUCUUGAGUCCAUCCUUGCUCAGGGACGAGCAAGACGUAAGCUUGGGGG
rnacentral:lncRNA from 1 species